rnacentral:rRNA from 1 species
CUGCAGUCGAGCGAUGGAUUAAGAGCUUGCUCUUAUGAAGUUAGCGGCGGACGGGUGAGUAACACGUGGGUAACCUACCCAUAAGACUGGGAUAACUCCGGGAAACCGGGGCUAAUACCGGAUAAUAUUUUGAACUGCAUAGUUCGAAAUUGAAAGGCGGCUUCGGCUGUCACUUAUGGAUGGACCCGCGUCGCAUUAGCUAGUUGGUGAGGUAACGGCUCACCAAGGCGACGAUGCGUAGCCGACCUGAGAGGGUGAUCGGCCACACUGGGACUGAGACACGGCCCAGACUCCUACGGGAGGCAGCAGUAGGGAAUCUUCCGCAAUGGACGAAAGUCUGACGGAGCAACGCCGCGUGAGUGAUGAAGGCUUUCGGGUCGUAAAACUCUGUUGUUAGGGAAGAACAAGUGCUAGUUGAAUAAGCUGGCACCUUGACGGUACCUAACCAGAAAGCCACGGCUAACUACGUGCCAGCAGCCGCGGUAAUACGUAGGUGGCAAGCGUUAUCCGGAAUUAUUGGGCGUAAAGCGCGCGCAGGUGGUUUCUUAAGUCUGAUGUGAAAGCCCACGGCUCAACCGUGGAGGGUCAUUGGAAACUGGGAGACUUGAGUGCAGAAGAGGAAAGUGGAAUUCCAUGUGUAGCGGUGAAAUGCGUAGAGAUAUGGAGGAACACCAGUGGCGAAGGCGACUUUCUGGUCUGUAACUGACACUG